rnacentral:tRNA from 1 species
AGGAUAAUAGUUUAAAAAAAAACAUUUAAUUUGCAUUUAAAAAAUAUAAAAAUCAUUAUUUAUCUU